AGGCACGUAGCUCAGUGGGAGAGCACUACCCCGACACGGUAGGGGUCGCUGGUUCAAUCCCAGUCGUGCCUACCA
rnacentral:tRNA from 1 species